AGAGUUGAUCCUGGCUCAGGAUGAACGCUGGCGGCGUGCCUAACACAUGCAAGUCGAACGGGGUAUAUAAGCGGAAGUUUACGGAUGGAAGGUUAUAUACUUAGUGGCGGACGGGUGAGUAACGCGUGGGCAACCUGCCCCGUGCCGGGGGAUACCGCCUGGAAACAGGCGCUAAUACCGCAUAAGCGCAUACAGCCGCAUGGGUGUAUGCGGAAAGCUCCGGCGGCACGGGAUGGGCCCGCGCCCGAUUAGCCAGUUGGCGGGGUAACGGCCCACCAAAGCGACGAUCGGUAGCCGGCCUGAGAGGGCGGACGGCCACAUUGGGACUGAGACACGGCCCAAACUCCUACGGGAGGCAGCAGCGGGGAAUAUUGCACAAUGGGGGAAACCCUGAUGCAGCAACGCCGCGUGGGUGAAGGAGCGUUUCGGCGCGUAAAGCCCUGUCAGCGGGGAAGAAGAAAGACGGUACCCGACCAAGAAGCCCCGGCUAACUACGUG
rnacentral:rRNA from 1 species